UACGGAGGGGGCUAGCGUUGUUCGGAAUUACUGGGCGUAAAGCGUCCGUAGGCGGCUUGCCAAGUCAGAGGUGAAAUCCCACGACUCAAUCGUGGAACUGCCUUUGAGACUGGUUCGCUUGAAGAUGGGAGAGGUUAGUGGAAUUCCGAGUGUAGAGGUGAAAUUCGUAGAUAUUCGGAAGAACACCAGUGGCGAAGGCGGCUAACUGGACCAUUCUUGACGCUGAGGGACGAAAGCGUGGGGAGCAAACAG
rnacentral:rRNA from 1 species